AUACGUAGGUGGCAAGCGUUGUCCGGAAUUAUUGGGCGUAAAGCGCGCGCAGGCGGUCCUUUAAGUCUGAUGUGAAAGCCCACGGCUCAACCGUGGAGGGUCAUUGGAAACUGGGGGACUUGAGUGCAGAAGAGGAAAGUGGAAUUCCAAGUGUAGCGGUGAAAUGGGUAGAGAUUUGGAGGAACACCAGUGGCGAAGGCGACUUUCUGGACGGUACCUGACGCUGAGGCGCGAAAGCGUGGGGAGCAAACAGGAUUAGAUACCCUGUUUGUCCACGCCGUAAACGAUGAGUGCUAAGUGUUAGGGGGUUUCCGCCCCUUAGUGCUGCAGCUAACGCAUUAAGCACUCCGCCUGGGGAGUACGGUCGCAAGACUGAAACUCAAAUGAAUUGACGGGG
rnacentral:rRNA from 1 species